UGGGAUAUGAUUAAUAUAGUGGAGAAAGGAAAGAGAAUCCUUCAGAAACAUUUGAAGAUUUUUGCUGCCCACGGUCUGUGUCCAAAUAAAUGUGGGCUGUUGUAUCAGAGAGUGAUGAACUGCACUUCCUGUCAGUAUGGGCUCUUUACGUGUCAGUCAGCCACGCCGCCACUAGACUGUGGAGAGCAUCAUCUUGAGGCAGAUGAAGGAGAGGAGGUGGUGCUGGACUGUUUCCUGUGCUGGCACGCUCUCGUAGUUGGGCAGACCGAGUACCAUUACUCCUGGCAUCCUGGAGAAAAGAAUGUACGUGCACACAGACAAACAAACCCAUUUGCUGUUUUCAAAGAAUCCUG
rnacentral:lncRNA from 1 species